UACAGGGUGGAAAUCUCUCGGUCUCUCCCGACUAUACAGUGAAAAAAGGCAAACAGAGAGGCGACGCGAGAGGGUGUUUUCCGGCGGGCCGCCGUCGGGCUCUGGGAGGUGGGGAAGACAGCGGACGGCUGCGUCGCGGUUGUAGAUAAUGGUGUUUUAGGAUUUGAUUCUGGCGUUGGCGGGCAGGCGGGGCGACUUUGAUGAAGUGGAAUAAGGUUCCUCCGGCUCCUUCCCGUCGCGGCGGUGCUCCCUCUGAUGGCGUUGCGGCUCUAGGGAGGUUGGUCUCUCUCUGAUCCGGGCAUCCGGCGAGGUUUGGUUGGUGAAGGGGUUGUACAGAAGUUGGGAUUUGUGGAGAGGGAUUCCCAGAUCCGGUCACCACGGACGACCGGCAGCUGCGGGCGAAGUUGUUGGAGUUGCUGCUGCACUCCGGUGUAGGCUGGCGCUGGUGGCAGCUUCAAGGACUGGGGAGCAGGGGUACCCCCGACUUAUGCACCGAACCCGCCCCUGGUUCUGUCUUAUGCGGCAGGACUUGUAUGCGGCCCACAAAGCCAUGGAUUGGCGAUAGUGCUCCUCGCACCGGCGGGUGCAGAGAUCAGCAUGCCUUGGUGAAGAAUUAAGAUGAGCUGGGCUCAGCGGCAGGAUCUCCAUGAGUAGGCCAUGGAGGAUAUCUGCCGGUGGCGACCUACUCGUUCCCGAUGGCUCCGGUGCCCCAAGGGUAGGUGUUCUUUCCUAUCGUGCUGCAUAUGGAAGCUCCGUUCUCGAAAUCUCAUGUCUGUAGGAUGUUGCCGUCAGGGUGGAUUUAGCUGGGGUGGUUUUAGCCUACAUUGUUAGCGUAAUAAUUAUGAUACUUUUGUUCAAGCAUACCAGCAAACGCACACACUUUUGAUUUAUUUUCCUAAGCUGCUGACUUUUCUUCUGAUAUUUCACCUGACCAAGUGAAAAUGGAUCUUUCCCUAGCUGUCUAUUCCUACAUUUUUUUGCAAAUAUGUGCCCGUUAUGCUGUCAUGUAAAUUCCACAACACAUCUGUAUGCGUGUAUCCUUCUUAUAGUUUCUAUUACCCAAUUAUAGUCAUGCUUGACAGCGUGAGGGCUGAGACUAACAAUUCUUUUCGCCUCUAUGCCCCUUAUUUCAGUGCAUUGUGCUAUUGUAUACUACUAUUAUAAUGGCAUGUGCAUUUAGUAAAAUCCCUUGAUUAUGGCAACAUGUAAAAAAUUUAAAUGUUUCCUGAGUGCAGAAUGUGGUAUAGAUUCGUGCAAGUUCUAAAACCUGCAAGUACUGAAUUACAUAAUAAUUGUGCAAGGCAGUAAAAAAGAAGAAGAUGAUGAUGAUUCAGUUAUCAAGAGGAUGUCUGAACUCUAAACCUGAAGGACAGGAAAUCAAACUUGAGGAGGAUAAUGGAAGAGAAGAAGAAGCAGACAUUAGGAUAAUGAAACAGAAGGAGUAGAUAAUGAGGAUGGUACUGAAAGAGAAGACGAGAUGCACCUUGGCUAAGUAAAGAGCUAGACCUAAAAUUGCCCAUAAAGGGAAUCAGGUCCCUUUCUCUAUCGGUGACAUCUUAGCUGCCGUCGAUUAGGUGCAUAUUUCACGAGAUAAUCUCGUUCUAACAUGUCUCUAAUUUUGAUUUUUCCUGCGGAUUUCAAAAUAUAGAAGGCAGCUUCGAAGAGGGGUCACUGGCGAGCAACAGAAAUAAUUCCUGGAGCAGGUUUCAGUGAAGACUACUGAUUUAGAAUUGGCUGUACGUUCAUGAACAAAUUUCUGUUGCUGAAAUAAGUCAUGGUGCAGACUUCAGUGAGGACUACUGAUCUAGAAGUCGUAUGUUCAUGAACAAUUUUUUGUUGCUCUGACUGAACGGUUUGUCUCUGUAAUUCUUAUCUGUUUGGGUGGUGCCCAGCUGCCAAUAGAAGACAAGCUGUCUUCUUGCCGAACAACGCCACAAUUGCAUAGUUCCAUGUUAUUUAGGAUUGUCUCUGUCGCAUACGACUUGGAGUUACAAGAGGUCCGGUACUAAUUUUGUGUAUGUAUGUACAUGUGCACUCGCCUGCUCUAUAUACACAUGAUUUGGAAGCAUCUUUUGCUGUACAUUUUGUUUCUUUGCUCGGUACAAAAUAUUGCAAGUGUUGUUCAUUUU